rnacentral:lncRNA from 1 species
AGCGCCGAGGCGUGCCCAGGAUGGAGCCGGCGGACGGCGAGGACGAGCCCGGGCCCCCGGCGCGGCUGGCGCCCAGCCCGCACAGCGAGGCCNNNNNNNNNNNNNNNNNNNNGUGGCGCACGAGCUGCGGGGGCUGUCGCUGCAGGCCGGGCCCUGCCUGCCGCCCCUCACCGAGCGCAAGAAUGGCUGAAGGUUGGCAGAACACUUGGAAGUCUGUGUUGCAGAAGAGUGGAAGGAGCAAGCAUUGAUGACCUUAGAUGUAAAGCAAACGUUUAUGAAAAGUUUGUGCAAUACAUUGCCAUUAAAUGAGAUGUUACUGGACUCUGGUUUAUGGAACUGACGGAGAUGUUCCAUUCCAAGGCCUUUUUUCUUCCUUUCACCCAGUCAUGCAAUAUAUUCAAAUUAAAUUUAAAUUCAAAUGAGAGGUACUUGUGCCCUCUGAAAAUACUUCAAAUUUUAACAGAUUUAAUUUUCACUGAAACCAAGAGCUUGUUGUAUGUUUUUUACUUCAGCCUCUGGUUUGGAUACACUGAUGCAGUGUAACAGAGUUUAAACCUGUAAUUGAAAAAUACAGCAUGCACAACUCAAGAUUUUCUUUCAGCUGAAAGAGAUACUUUGGUUUUGUUGUUUGAUAGAAACCAGUCUCUCAGCUGCAGUUUUGUUUCUAGGUCAUUAUAGGUUUCUCUGUGAUCCUCAGAGUCAUUUUGCUAUUUGUAAUGUUAAAAACAGCUCUUUUGAAACAGGUACAUGCUCAAAUUGCAGAGGUUUUAAGUCCAAUGUUUAGUUUGGAAAUGAGUAGUUCUGUCUCUUACAAAACAUCUCUAUUUAAAUAGUCACCAGCAGAAAGAGAAUAUGAAAAAAUUGCAAUUCGAAAAAGUUUUUUGCCUUUUUUUAGCAAUGCUAUCAAUUUCAAAUGACACUCCAAAUUCCAGCUCACUUUUAGACACUGAACACAAAAUCAUUUCAAACUCUGAGUGGAGAUCCCAAGCAAGAUCCCAAGCUUUUUCUGUCCCUAAUUUAUAUUGCAUAAUUCAUGAGUUGUUCUAUUAAUUGUAUUACUGCUAAAAUAAAGAGUCGUCAAAGAACA